UGGCCCCGUUUUUGUUUUCUCCUCCAUCGACCCUUGCCAUGGAUCGGUGCUUCUCAAAGGAGGGCCCAGCAACACUGGCUUCACCUGGAAGCUUGUCAGACCUGCAGGGUCGAGGGCCACCUCAAGAUCACUGAAUCCAUCUGAGUUUCAAGAGGGUUCUCCAGAUGAUUCGUUUGCAGUUAAAGCUCACCCACCAGCCAUCACUCAUUGCCUCAAAACAGCAUCCGCCGCGUGCCAGGUGCCCCAGGUGCCAUGAUGGAAACAGGCGCGUGCAUUGAAGACCGAAUAUAUACGCCUAACCGGCCACAGGGGACGUCUGCUUCUAGCUCGCUGCCCUCAGCCCCCACCCAGGGCUCACACGGAGCCUUCUCCCUGCCCGUGAGGCUUUGCCCAAACCCCCGAGCGACGGUGGCUGACCUCCUCCUCCUCGUUGUCAUCAGCUGUCGCUAAAUACCUUUGCUCCUUCCCCCUUGGGUGGUCUUCCUCUAUUUCUGCACUUGUUAGGAACAAAAUGCCAGCCCACAGGCGCAUUGCAGGAGGAAACGUACGUGUGUGCGUAUGUGUGCCUGUGUGUGUGAGUGAGUGAGUGACCCCGGGAUAAGAAGGAAGAGCAGAGAACACGCCUGUUCCUUUACUCCCGUGUUUUGUGCAACGAAGGUUCCCCACGGAUGUAGGGGCGGGUGUGGCAACAGGCAAAGCCGGUCUCCCCUGGCUUCUGUCGGCUCAGCUGGACCACAUUUCCCAGCCUGCCUUGCAGUCCGGCGAGGCCCUAGGCCUGAGGCCUGCCUCUGGAAUGUGGGAGGAAGUGAGGCACACAGCUGCCGAGUCUGGCUCCUGGAAACUUCCAGAAAUCCUCUACACUCUCCCGUUCCUCACCUGCUGGUCAGAUGCAGAGGGUCUGGUGGGGACUCGAAGGAGCCGGCGAUGGUGGGGCCAUGACGUAGAAGGAUGCUGGUGGCCCAGGGACAGUGUGGCUCAGAACCCUGCCAGUCGGCCUAGGACAUCCGUGAUGUGAGCGAGGGGCACGGCUGGGUCGUGGUCCUGCCCUCUCCACGGCCGUGGGGACUCCUCUCCAGCCUGGAGAAAUGAUGAUCCAGGACCAGGCCUGUCCCCCAACCCCUGGUGAGGCACCCGGGGGCUCAGACACAGCCCCUAGGAACGGUGGAGCGGUCAUAAGUCAGAUUGCAUGCCCGGCGUGGAGCCCAAUGUGGGGCUUGAACUCACGACCCUGAGAUCAAGACCUGAGCUGAGAUCAAGAGUUGGAUGCCUAACUGACUGAGCCACCCAGACGCCCCGAGGAAAACUGACGUUUAGGAAACCAAAUUGUUAUUCUAUGAAAAUACAUUUCAGUUGAGGGUAUUCACCCUGAGAGAGAAGCUGAGUGUUUGUAACUCGUAGAAAGCACUGAAUUCGUUCAAUGGAAACAGAAACCUAUUAUUACAGCACUUGGAGAUCUCCCGAGAACACAUCCAGACACGAAGAGUGCUGGUUUUAUUACGUGCUAAAACAAAGAUACAAUGCACGCGUGCGCGCGCGCACACACACACACGAACACCCUCCUGGCAUCAGGGCUAUAGCAGAAUGAAAGUUGGAACUUCCCCAGGCAAAGCAAGGACACUCUUAUCAAACCACUGACCCGUGUGCUCGCUUCGGCAGCACACACGAAACCACUGACCUCUUCAGUCGGUCGUGCACUAGGGGUGAAGACAAGAAGGGAAGAGAAGUAAGUCGAACUGUCCAGCCUCAAAACGAAGAAGCCAGAGAAAGUUGGAGGCGGUGGAACUGUCUCCUGGUGCGGGCGGGGCUCCACGUUGGUGGCUGGGAAGCAGUUGUAGGAAAGCCUAAGGGGACCCGUGGUCUCUUGCGUGGGCACGUUCAUCUGUCUGCACGCUUCUUACGUGCCAGAAGUACCUUCUGGUCUUGGUAAACAUGACACCGUGUUUAGGCGGAGCCUCGUCCUAGGACUUGCCGUUUGGGGUACUGGCUGCAAGUGUGAGAACCCAGUUUUUAAACUCCUCCCUGAUUUUGUUGUCUAAGCAGGUCUCGUUCUGCCUUAUGACUUCUCCUAACUUUCCGAGGUCCUGAUUAAACACCUUAAUUUUCUGAAAAUGAGAGAGAGUCAUCGAUCUGAGCCGUAACCGCAUUAAAGAGCUGGGACCUGCCUGGGGCAGCAGCGUGUGGUGUUGGGCUGGGGGCCGCGAGAGGAUCCCAUCGGCCACCCAACCAUCCCAUCUCUCAGGCAAGACAAAUGGAGGGGAGCUCCUGCGUAACGGGGCGGCCAGCAUGCCACAGGCAGGGACGCGAGGAGGGCCAUCUCAGGAUGUGCUGGGCCACCAGGAAGGUUGCGGCCGUCUAAAGGGAGCGGGUGACAGAGAAGCCAGUUUCUGUGCCUGAGUGUCACCUGGAGUCCCCGGGAAUCCUCAUGGAUCAGAAAGAACAUUUUAUCCGCUUCAUUGCUGGGGAUGCCGCCUCCACACAGGUGCGGCCUCUCUGUCGCCCUCUGGUGGCUGUCCCUGAUUUGCUUUUCUAACGACGGGAGUGAUUUCUGAACAAAACAAUAGUGAACGAUGACACUCCACAGCUUGAUGGAAUUGGCCGACAGAUUUCUUCGAUACGUGGGCCAAAUCCCCUGUGACAGCAUUCGAGGGGAUCCGGAAUUUCUAUUUUUGUGCGAAGUUCGCUAAGACGGGCCCCUGUUGUGGCGCCUGGGUGGCUCAGCUGGUUAAGUGUCCAAUGCUUGACAUGGGCUCAGGUUAUGAUCUCGCGGAUUCGUGAGAUCAAGCCCCGUGUUGGCCUCUGCACUGACAGUGUGGAGCCUGCUUGGGAUUCUCUUUCUCCCUCUCUCUCUCUCUCUCUCUCCCCCUCGACUCCACCUUCUCUCUCUCUGUCUCAAAAUAAACAAACAUUUGUAAAAAAUGUUUAAGAUGGACACCUGUUGAAGAGCCCAAGGAUGGCUUUGCAUGCAAUACAGCUCGAAUGACCCGGUGUGCAGUUUUGUUAUGUCACUGGAGUGGGGAAGUGCCAAGAAGCGGCCGGGCUUGGGUUUGGCUUUGCGCUUUGUAUUUAGAGAACAAGUACACUUGAAAAUAACGUAAGCUUUCUUUACGAAAGUGCUCUGUCAGUGAUAAUUUGAGUGUUAUAAACUGAUAAAUGGCUCUUUGGUAGGGGACGUGACCUGGAUAUUGGUGGCAGGCGGGGUACAGUCCUAACCAAUCAACGAUGGCGAUGAUAAUGAAGGGGAGGAGAAGGAAGGACACAGAGAGGCACCACAGAGGGUUGUCUUUGGGCCAAGCACCCUCCACACCUCAGUUAAGCGCCGCCCCCCCCCCCCCCCCCAACUGCAGGACAAAGCACGUGGCUCGGUUGCUUCUCUGUUUUACAAAGAGGAAUCUAAGGCUCAGAGAGGCUAAUUGCCAGAUACCGUCACGGAGCGAGUCAGUGGUGGAGGGUCCCAGGGCACACCCAGCUCACUGCCUCCGCAGCCUGUGCAGGUGGACACGGACGCCUGAGUGCCCAGCGGGCCCAGCCUCUGCCUUGGCGAAUGAGGUCCCCGAGCCAGGCGGGAGGAGUGUGUUGGGGUCUGGAGGCAGUUUGUGGAUUACAUACCAAGGCCUCGUAAAAUGCGGAUGACGUUGGAUGACACCAGGAAGUCAUAAGGUCUCACAGGUGCCUUGGGGGGGGAGGGGCAGUUUGAAUCUAUAGUCGGAAAUGUAUGAGAUUGUUUCCUGAUCCUUCAAAUCAUCAUUAUCAUAAUCGUUAUGAAUUUUUAAAAAUUAAAAUAUCACAAAUGUAAAAUGAAAGUUUGAAUGUAGACGAUUUAAAUAUUGUGAAAUGUACUAUCAAAAACGGCUAUCAAAAUGCAACGUCUUUUUGCAAAACACCAAGGUUUUUGUCAGUUCAACAAGGUUGUGUCUUUUAGACAGGGAUACGUCUUUCGAAGCCCUCUUCUGUGAACUGAGGGGAAUCCCACUAGAGUUGGGGCUCCUCAAGGUAUGUUCCCUGGAUCACCUGGGAAGUUAGAAGGGCAAACUCAUUGCCCCCUCAUCCCCCCGAUUUAUUGACCCAGAAACUUGGAUUGGGACCCAGGAAUCUGAAUUUAAAUAAACUUUCCAGGUGAUUCUUUUUUUUAAAUUUUUUCAGUGUUUACUAAUUUUUGAGUGACAGAGACAGAGCAUGAGCAGGGGAGGAGCAGAGAGAGAGGGAGACACAGAAUCCGAAACAGGCUCCAGGCUCCGAGGUGUCAGCACAGAGCCCGACGCGGGGCUCGAACUCAGAUCAUAACCUGAGCCCAAGCUGGUGCUUAACCGACUGAGCCGCCCAGUCGCCCCCAGGUGAUUCUUGUGCACAUUGCAGUUGGAGAACCACUGGCUUCUUUCUUCCAACUCAAUGUUCUUGGGAGUACAUGUUUCCUGGCUCAGAAGAAUUCGUUGCUUUUGUCUGACAGGCUGGGAAAAUAACUGGCUGUUUCACUGUCAAGGUCGACAAAGUGUGAACCUGUUGCAAAAGGAUACAUUUGCUGAGUCAGUGUUCAUUCCUUUUGCCCUCCUAAAUGGUUUAUAGUUUUCUUCCUUCCCUUCUUGCUUCCCAGAUUGAUCGGCUCUGCGUUUCGACAUUAGGCAGUUGUUACUUCCCAGUUUCGGAAGCUCCC